rfam:Hordeum vulgare subsp. vulgare, WGS project CAJW01000000 data, contig: morex_contig_2590395
CCGCUCGGAGAUGCUGAGAUCAUCUCUCACGUCAUCGCCGGCCUUGACAUCGACUACAAUCCCGUGAUCUCCGCCUUGGCCGCACGGGUCGAACCGGUCACGGUCCAGGAGCUCUACAACCAACUUCUAAGCUUCGACG